rnacentral:rRNA from 1 species
UCUUGGUCAUUUAGAGGAGUAAAGUCGUAACAAGGUUUCCGUAGGUGAACCUGCGGAAGGAUCAUUACAAGUGAGGCUACCGAACGUUGGAACAGCGGUUAGGAGCUUACACCCACCCGUGUUUACAUACUAUUGUUGCUUUGGCGGGCCGUGGCCUCCACUGCGGGCUCUGCUCGUGUGUGCCCGCCAGAGAACCAAACUCUGAAUGUUAGUGAUGUCUGAGUACUAUCUAAUAGUUAAAACUUUCAACAACGGAUCUCUUGGUUCUGGCAUCGAUGAAGAACGCAGCGAAAUGCGAUAAGUAAUGUGAAUUGCAGAAUUCAGUGAAUCAUCGAAUCUUUGAACGCACAUUGCGCCCUGUGGUAUUCCGCAGGGCAUGCCUGUUCGAGCGUCAUUUAACCACUCACGCCUAGCGUGGUGGUGGGGCGCGCGGUCUCCGCGGCCCUCAAAAUUAGUGGCGGCGCCGGUGGGCUCUAAGCGUAGUACAUACUCCCGCUAUAGAGUCCCCCCGGUGGCUCGCCAGAACCCCCAAUUUUUACAGGUUGACCUCGGAUCAGGUAGGGAUACCCCGCUGAACUUAAGCAUAUCAAUAAGCGGGAGGAA